UCUACCAAAGGAUAAUANUAUUCCAC
rnacentral:tRNA from 1 species